UGAGUAACACGUGGGUAACCUGCCCAUAAGACUGGGAUAACUCCGGGAAACCGGGGCUAAUACCGGAUAACAUUUUGAACUGCAUGGUUCGAAAUUGAAAGGCGGCUUCGGCUGUCACUUAUGGAUGGACCCGCGUCGCAUUAGCUAGUUGGUGAGGUAACGGCUCACCAAGGCAACGAUGCGUAGCCGACCUGAGAGGGUGAUCGGCCACACUGGGACUGAGACACGGCCCAGACUCCUACGGGAGGCAGCAGUAGGGAAUCUUCCGCAAUGGACGAAAGUCUGACGGAGCAACGCCGCGUGAGUGAUGAAGGCUUUCGGGUCGUAAAACUCUGUUGUUAGGGAAGAACAAGUGCUAGUUGAAUAAGCUGGCACCUUGACGGUACCUAACCAGAAAGCCACGGCUAACUACGUGCCAGCAGCCGCGGUAAUACGUAGGUGGCAAGCGUUAUCCGGAAUUAUUGGGCGUAAAGCGCGCGCAGGUGGUUUCUUAAGUCU
rnacentral:rRNA from 1 species